rnacentral:tRNA from 2 species
UGGGGUGUAGCUCAGUGGAAGAGCGCUUGCCUAGUAUGUGUGAGGCACUGGGUUCGAUUCUCAGCACCACAU